rnacentral:rRNA from 1 species
AUUGAACGCUGGCGGCAGGCUUAACACAUGCAAGUCGAGCGAGCGGCGGACGGGUGAGUAAUGUCUGGGAAACUGCCUGAUGGAGGGGGAUAACUACUGGAAACGGUGGCUAAUACCGCAUACCAUCAGAUGUGCCCAUAUGGGAUUAGCUAGUAGGUGGGGUAAUGGCUCACCUAGGCGACGAUCCCUAGCUGGUCUGAGAGGAUGACCAGCCACACUGGAACUGAGACACGGCCCAGACUCCUACGGGAGGCAGCAGUGGGGAAUAUUGCACAAUGGGCGCAAGCCUGAUGCAGCCAUGCCGCGUGUGUGAAGAAGGCCUUAGGGUUGUAAAGUACUUUCAGCGGGGAGGCGUUACUCGCAGAAGAAGCACCGGCUAACUCCGUGCCAGCCGCCGCGGUAAUAC